rnacentral:rRNA from 1 species
UGGGGAAUAUUGCACAAUGGGCGCAAGCCUGAUGCAGCCAUGCCGCGUGUAUGAAGAAGGCCUUCGGGUUGUAAAGUACUUUCAGCGGGGAGGAAGGGAGUAAAGUUAAUACCUUUGCUCAUUGACGUUACCCGCGGAAGAAGCACCGGCUAACUCCGUGCCAGCAGCCGCGGUAAUACGGAGGGUGCAAGCGUUAAUCGGAAUUACUGGGCGUAAAGCGCACGCAGGCGGUUUGUUAAGUCAGAUGUGAAAUCCCCGGGCUCAACCUGGGAACUGCAUCUGAUACUGGAAAGCUUGAGUCUCGUAGAGGGGGGUAGAAUUCCAGGUGUAGCGAUGAAAUGCGUAGAGAUCUGGAGGAAUACCGGUGGCGAAGGCGGCCCCCUGGACGAAGACUGACGCUCAGGUGCGAAAGCGUGGGGAGCAAACAGG